UUGAUGUUCUUCGUGACAUGGCGGACUGCUCAGUAACACGUGGACAACCUACCCUCGGGUCCGGCAUAAUCCUGGGAAACUGGGGAUAAUUCCGGAUAGGCCACAGCUGCUGGAAUGCACUGUGGCUCAAAGUUCCGGCGCCCGAGGAUGGGUCUGCGGCCUAUCAGGGUUGUAGUGGGUGUAACGUACCUACUAGCCUACGACGGGUACGGGUUGUGAGAGCAAGAGCCCGGAGAUGGAUUCUGAGACACGAAUCCAGGCCCUACGGGGUGCAGCAGGCGCGAAAACUUUACAAUGCGGGAAACCGUGAUAAGGGAAUCUCGAGUGCCAGCAUAUAAUGUUGGCUGUCCAGAUGCCUAAAAGCAUCUGUUAGCAAGGGCCGGGCAAGACCGGUGCCAGCCGCCGCGGUAACACCGGCGGCCCGAGUGGUAACCGUUUUUAUUGGGUCUAAAGGGUCAGUAGCCGGCCAGGUAAGUCCCUUGGGAAAUCUGGCAGCUCAACUGUCAGGCUGCUAGGGGAUACUGUUUGGCUUGGGACCGGGAGAGGUGGGAGGUACCUUGGGGGUAGGGGGGUGAAAUCUUGUGAUCCUCGGGGGACCACCAGUGGCGAAGGCGUCUCACCAGAACGGGUCCGACGGUAAGGGACGAAAGCUAGGGGCACGAACCGGAUUAGAUACCCGGGUAGUCCUAGCCGUAAACGAUGCUCGCUAGGUGUCAGUCACGGUGCGACCGUGAUUGGUGCCGUAGGGAAGCCGUGAAGCGAGCCACCUGGGAAGUACGGCCGCAAGGCUGAAACUUAA
rnacentral:rRNA from 1 species